rnacentral:rRNA from 1 species
GCUGGAUUCGCUAGUAAUCGCGCAUCAGCCACGGCGCGGUGAAUACGUUCCCGGGCCUUGUACACACCGCCCGUCAAGCCAUGGAAGCCGGGAGUGCCUGAAGUGCGUGAGCGCAAGCAGCGCCCUAAGGUAAAACCGGUGACUGGGGCUAAGUCGUAACAAGGUAGC